rnacentral:rRNA from 1 species
UGGGGAAUAUUGGACAAUGGGGGCAACCCUGAUCCAGCCAUGCCGCGUGAGUGAUGAAGGCCUUAGGGUUGUAAAGCUCUUUCGCCGGUGAAGAUAAUGACGGUAACCGGUAAAGAAGCCCCGGCUAACUUCGUGCCAGCAGCCGCGGUAAUACGAAGGGGGCUAGCGUUGUUCGGAAUUACUGGGCGUAAAGCGCGCGUAGGCGGACUAUUAAGUCAGGGGUGAAAUCCCGGGGCUCAACCUCGGAAUUGCCUUUGAUACUGGUAGUCUAGAGUCCGUGAGAGGUGAGUGGAACUCCGAGUGUAGAGGUGAAAUUCGUAGAUAUUCGGAAGAACACCAGUGGCGAAGGCGGCUCACUGGCACGGUACUGACGCUGAGGUGCGAAAGCGUGGGGAGCAAACAGGAUUAGAUACCCCCGUAGUCC